GGGAAAAGCUCAAAUUUUGAAUCUGGCGUCUUUGGCGUCCGAGUUGUAAUCUAGAGAAGUGUUUUCCGCACCGGACCGUGCACAAGUCUCCUGGAAUGGAGCGUCAUAGAGGGUGAGAAUCCCGUCUUUGACACGGACUGCCAGGGCUUUUGUGAUGUGCUCUCAAA
rnacentral:rRNA from 1 species